rnacentral:rRNA from 1 species
AUUGAACGCUGGCGGCAUGCCUUACACAUGCAAGUCGAACGGCAGCACGGGUGCUUGCACCUGGUGGCGAGUGGCGAACGGGUGAGUAAUACAUCGGAACGUACCUUAUCGUGGGGGAUAACGCAGCGAAAGCUGUGCUAAUACCGCAUACGCCCUGAGGGGGAAAGCGGGGGAUCGCAAGACCUCGCGCGAUUAGAGCGGCCGAUGCCUGAUUAGCUUGUUGGUGGGGUAAAAGCCCACCAAGGCGACGAUCAGUAGCUGGUCUGAGAGGACGAUCAGCCACACUGGGACUGAGACACGGCCCAGACUCCUACGGGAGGCAGCAGUGGGGAAUUUUGGACAAUGGGGGCAACCCUGAUCCAGCAAUGCCGCGUGAGUGAAGAAGGCCCUCGGGUUGUAAAGCUCUUUUGUCAGGGAAGAAACACCGGCUCUAACACAGUCUGGGAAUGACGGUACCUGAAGAAUAAGCACCGACUAACUACGUGCCAGCCGCCGCCGUAA